GCAGGACCGGUCGCGCGGAUCUUCAGAGAUUAGAGUUUGAUCAUGGCUCAGAUUGAACGCUGGCGGAAUGCUUUACACAUGCAAGUCGAACGGCAGCACGGGAGCUUGCUCCUGGUGGCGAGUGGCGAACGGGUGAGUAACAUAUCGGAACGUACCUAGUAAUGGGGGAUAACUAGUCGAAAGAUUAGCUAAUACCGCAUACGCCCUGAGGGGGAAAGCGGGGGAUCGUAAGACCUCGCGUUAUUAGAGCGGCCGAUAUCUGAUUAGCUAGUUGGUGGGGUAAAAGCCUACCAAGGCGACGAUCAGUAGCUGGUCUGAGAGGACGACCAGCCACACUGGAACUGAGACACGGUCCAGACUCCUACGGGAGGCAGCAGUGGGGAAUUUUGGACAAUGGGCGCAAGCCUGAUCCAGCCAUUCCGCGUGAGUGAAGAAGGCCUUCGGGUUGUAAAGCUCUUUCGCAAGGGAAGAAACGAUGCAGUCGAAUAAACUGCGUUAAUGACGGUACCUUGAUAAGAAGCACCGGCUAACUACGUGCCAGCAGCCGCGGUAAUACGUAGGGUGCGAGCGUUAAUCGGAAUUACUGGGCGUAAAGCGUGCGCAGGCGGUUUUGUAAGUCAGAUGUGAAAUCCCCGGGCUCAACCUGGGAACUGCGUUUGAAACUACAAGGCUAGAGUGUAGCAGAGGGGGGUAGAAUUCCACGUGUAGCAGUGAAAUGCGUAGAGAUGUGGAGGAAUACCAAUGGCGAAGGCAGCCCCCUGGGUUAACACUGACGCUCAUGCACGAAAGCGUGGGGAGCAAACAGGAUUAGAUACCCUGGUAGUCCACGCCCUAAACGAUGUCUACUAGUUGUUGGUGGAGUAAAAUCCAUUAGUAACGCAGCUAACGCGUGAAGUAGACCGCCUGGGGAGUACGGUCGCAAGAUUAAAACUCAAAGGAAUUGACGGGGGCCCGCACAAGCGGUGGAUUAUGUGGAUUAAUUCGAUGCAACGCGAAAAACCUUACCUGGCCUUGACAUGUACGGAACUUUCCAGAGAUGGAUUGGUGCCCGAAAA
rnacentral:rRNA from 1 species